AGACGAGGUUUUGCCAUGUUGCCCAGACUGGUCUCCAACUCCUGAGCUCAGGUGAUCCACCCACCUUGGCCUCCCAAAGUGCUAGAAUUACAGGCGUGAGCCACCACACCUGGCCAGAUGAUGAAACACCCACCCAAGGCUUCUAUACCAUGCAGAAUGAUGCCUCUCUCCACUGGCUGCCCUGAGCACAUGCCAUGAAGAAUGAAAGCCAGGAGACAAAGGAACAAACUAGUUCAUCAUUAAAACCCGUAUGCUUUCCCUUGGA